rnacentral:tRNA from 1 species
GGGGCGGUGGCUCAGUGGUAGAGCGCUUGCCUAGCAUGUGUGAGGCACUGGGUUCAAUUCUCAGCACCUCA